AUGGAUAAGAUGAGAAUGGGCUUGCGAAGGAAAAGCAGGGAUGUGCCUGGGGCACUGAGGACUCAUCACUUUCCCUCUCUUCUCUGCAGUGUACCAACAUGUGCAUACAAGGCGAGCUGUGCCGAGCAACACAAGACGCACAGUCUUGCGGGUCCCAGCACUGCCAGCCAGGAGAUGGAGGGGCCAUCUCAUAGCUCCCCAGCAUCUGACAAUGACAGAUGUGCAUCCACCAGCCAGGCAGCACUGCAGUCAUCUCAAAGUCCGCAGCUGCCUAAGUGCAACAUCCUGUCCAGCCAGCUCAGGGGAGGACAGUGGAAAAGACGCAUGGCUGCAUGCAAGCAGCACCAAGGACACCAAGGGAGCAGCCAUACUCCUGCUCCAGGUGCAGAGAGCAGCACCCAAAGAUCCACCAGCCAGCGGGAAGUGGGGCACUCCAGCAACUACCCAGCGGCUAAACGCAGAUGGCAGUCCAGGCAGCAGGAGACAGGCCGGACAAGAAGCCGCUCUCCACUGGAGGAUCGUGCUUCCAAAAUCCCAAGACUGCUCAGAAGACCUCCUGGCAACAGGUCUAUUCCUCUAAACGCAGGUGCUGGGAGCAGCAGGCAUGCUCCAGCCUCAGGUGCUGAGAGUAGCAUGCGCACCUCUGGUAGCCAGUGGGCAUCCAGCAAUUCCCCAAGGGCUGGAAACAAGAGAUGCCACAGACAACAGGGCACAAGCCAGAGACAAAGCCAUUCCUGCCGACAAGGUCUGGCUUCAAAUUCACUGAUCCAGCCCCGAGCACUGUGCGGCAGCAGACUUAGUCCAGCCCCAGGUGCUCAGAGCAGCACCCAGAGCUCUGCCACACAGGUGACAUCGAGGGCCUCCAGGGAUUCCCGUCUGCCUGUACCCAGAAGACUCCUGCAGCGAGGGCAGCCCCAGGAACGAAGCCGUUCCCCACGGGAUCGUCGGGCUUCCAAUUCGCAAAGUGAGGCUGGAGGAAGCCAAGCCGCAGCCCAGACAGCGGCGGCCAACUCAGGCACGACGCCAAAACCGGAACCAGCCCUGAAGGCACUGCAGGAGCAGCCACAUACCACAGCCAUGUGCCAGCUCCUGUCCCAGCAGCCAUCCAAUGGACUUGUCACGGAGUUCUCUCUACACCUGUGUCCGUGA
rnacentral:lncRNA from 1 species